GCGAGAGUUUGAUCCUGGCUCAGAUUGAACGCUGGCGGCAUGCCUUACACAUGCAAGUCGAACGGUAACAGGUUAAGCUGACGAGUGGCGAACGGGUGAGUAAUAUAUCGGAACGUGCCCAGUAGUGGGGGAUAGCCCGGCGAAAGCCGGAUUAAUACCGCAUACGACCUACGGGUGAAAGCGGGGGAUCGCAAGACCUCGCGCUAUUGGAGCGGCCGAUAUCAGAUUAGCUAGUUGGUGGGGUAAAAGCCCACCAAGGCGACGAUCUGUAGCUGGUCUGAGAGGACGACCAGCCACACUGGGACUGAGACACGGCCCAGACUCCUACGGGAGGCAGCAGUGGGGAAUUUUGGACAAUGGGCGCAAGCCUGAUCCAGCCAUGCCGCGUGCGGGAAGAAGGCCUUCGGGUUGUAAACCGCUUUUGUCAGGGAAGAAAAGCUCCGGGUUAAUACCUCGGUGUCAUGACGGUACCUGAAGAAUAAGCACCGGCUAACUACGUGCCAGCAGCCGCGGUAAUACGUAGGGUGCAAGCGUUAAUCGGAAUUACUGGGCGUAAAGCGUGCGCAGGCGGUUCGUUGUGUCGGUGGUGAAAUCCCCGGGCUCAACCUGGGAAUGGCCAUGGAAACUGGCGAACUGGAGUGUG
rnacentral:rRNA from 1 species